rnacentral:rRNA from 1 species
GAUGAACGCUGGCGGCGUGCCUAAUACAUGCCAGUCGAGCGAACGGACGAGAAGCUUGCUUUUCUGAUGUUAGCGGCGGACGGGUGAGUAACACGUGGAUAACCUACCUAUAAGACUGGGAUAACUUCGGGAAACCGGAGCUAAUACCGGAUAAUAUUUUGAACCGCAUGGUUCAAAAGUGAAAGACGGUCUUGCUGUCACUUAUAGAUGGAUCCGCGCUGCAUUAGCUAGUUGGUAAGGUAACGGCUUACCAAGGCAACGAUGCAUAGCCGACCUGAGAGGGUGAUGGGCCACACUGGAACUGAGACACGGUCCAGACUCCUACGGGAGGCAGCAGUAGGGAAUCUGCCGCAAUGGGCGAAAGCCUGACGGAGCAACGCCGCGUGAGUGAUGAAGGUCUUCGGAUCGUAAAACUCUGUUAUUAGGGAAGAACAUAUGUGUAAGUAACUGUGCACAUCGUGACGGUACCUAAUCAGAAAGCCACGGCUAACUACGUG